UACAGAGGUGGCAAGCGUUGUUCGGAAUUACUGGGCGUAAAGGGCGCGUAGGCGGCCCGUCAAGUCCCGUGUGAAAGCCCCCGGCUCAGCCGGGGAACGGCGCGGGAAACUAGCAGGCUUGAGUUCGGGAGAGGGAAGCGGAAUUCCGGGUGUAGCGGUGAAAUGCGCAGAUAUCCGGAGGAACACCGGUGGCGAAGGCGGCUUCCUGGACCGACACUGACGCUGAGGCGCGAAAGCGUGGGGAGCAAACAGG
rnacentral:rRNA from 1 species